UACGUAGGGUGCGAGCGUUAAUCGGAAUUACUGGGCGUAAAGGGUGCGCAGGCGGUUUUGCAAGUCAGGCGUGAAAUCCCCGGGCUUAACUUGGGAACUGCACUUGAAACUACGGGACUGGAGUAUGACAGAGGGAGAUGGAAUUCCACGUGUAGCGGUGAAAUGCGUAGAGAUGUGGAGGAACACCGAUGGCGAAGGCAGCCUCCUGGGCCAAUACUGACGCUCAUGCACGAAAGCGUGGGGAGCAAACAGG
rnacentral:rRNA from 1 species